AUUGAACGCUGGCGGCAUGCCUUACACAUGCAAGUCGAACGAGUGGCGGACGGGUGAGUAAUAUCUUGGAACCUGCCUGAUGGAGGGGGAUAACUACUCGAAACCGUAGCUAAUACCGCAUACCAUCGGAUCUGCCCAGAGUGGAUUAGCUCGUUGGUGGGGUAACGGCUCACCAAGGCCACGAUCCCUAGCUGGUCUGAGAGGAUGACCAGCCACACUGGAACUGAGACACGGUCCAGACUCCUACGGGAGGCAGCAGUGGGGAAUAUUGCACAAUGGGCGCAAGCCUGAUGCAGCCAUGCCGCGUGUAUGAAGAAGGCCUUCGGGUUGUAAAGUACUUUCGGCGGAGAAGCGUUACCCGCAGAAGAAGCACCGGCUAACUACGUGCCAGCAGCCGCGGUAAUUC
rnacentral:rRNA from 1 species